AGCGAACGCUGGCGGCAGGCCUAACACAUGCAAGUCGAACGAAGUCUUCGGACUUAGUGGCGGACGGGUGAGUAACACGUGGGAACGUGCCUUUAGGUUCGGAAUAACUCAGGGAAACUUGUGCUAAUACCGAAUGUGCCCUUCGGGGGAAAGAUUUAUCGCCUUUAGAGCGGCCCGCGUCUGAUUAGCUAGUUGGUGAGGUAAUGGCUCACCAAGGCGACGAUCAGUAGCUGGUCUGAGAGGAUGACCAGCCACAUUGGGACUGAGACACGGCCCAAACUCCUACGGGAGGCAGCAGUGGGGAAUCUUGCGCAAUGGGCGAAAGCCUGACGCAGCCAUGCCGCGUGGAUGAUGAAGGUCUUAGGAUUGUAAAAUCCUUUCACCGGUGAAGAUAAUGACUGUAGCCGGAGAAGAAGCCCCGGCUAACUUCGUGCCAGCCGCCGCCGUAAGAC
rnacentral:rRNA from 1 species